rnacentral:rRNA from 1 species
CUCCCAGCUAAUAAUGCAAGUCGACGAACUUCCGUUAAUUGAUUAUGACGUACUUGUACUGAUUGAGAUUUUAACACGAAGUGAGUGGCGAACGGGUGAGUAACACGUGGGUAACCUGCCCAGAAGUAGGGGAUAACACCUGGAAACAGAUGCUAAUACCGUAUAACAGAGAAAACCGCAUGGUUUUCUUUUAAAAGAUGGCUCUGCUAUCACUUCUGGAUGGACCCGCGGCGUAUUAGCUAGUUGGUGAGGUAAAGGCUCACCAAGGCAGUGAUACGUAGCCGACCUGAGAGGGUAAUCGGCCACAUUGGGACUGAGACACGGCCCAGACUCCUACGGGAGGCAGCAGUAGGGAAUCUUCCACAAUGGACGCAAGUCUGAUGGAGCAACGCCGCGUGAGUGAAGAAGGGUUUCGGCUCGUAAAGCUCUGUUGUUAAAGAAGAACGUGGGUAAGAGUAACUGUUUACCCAGUGACGGUAUUUAACCAGAAAGCCACGGCUAACUACGUGCCAGCAGCCGCGGUAAUACGUAGGUGGCAAGCGUUAUCCGGAUUUAUUGGGCGUAAAGCGAGCGCAGGCGGUCUUUUAAGUCUAAUGUGAAAGCCUUCGGCUCAACCGAAGAAGUGCAUUGGAAACUGGGAGACUUGAGUGCAGAAGAGGACAGUGGAACUCCAUGUGUAGCGGUGAAAUGCGUAGAUAUAUGGAAGAACACCAGUGGCGAAGGCGGCUGUCUGGUCUGCAACUGACGCUGAGGCUCGAAAGCAUGGGUAGCGAACAGGAUUAGAUACCCUGGUAGUCCAUGCCGUAAACGAUGAUUACUAAGUGUUGGAAGGUUUCCGCCCUUCAGUGCUGCAGCUAACGCAUUAAGUAAUCCGCCUGGGGAGUACGACCGCAGGUUGAAACU